rnacentral:rRNA from 1 species
UGACGGAGCACGCCGCGUGAGUGAUGAAGGUUUUCGGAUCGUAAAGCUCUGUUGUUAGGGAAGAACAAGUACCGUUCGAAUAGGGCGGUACCUUGACGGUACCUAACCAGAAAGCCACGGCUAACUACGUGCCAGCAGCCGCGGUAAUACGUAGGUGGCAAGCGUUGUCCGGAAUUAUUGGGCGUAAAGGGCUCGCAGGCGGUUUCUUAAGUCUGAUGUGAAAGCCCCCGGCUCAACCGGGGAGGGUCAUUGGAAACUGGGGAACUUGAGUGCAGAAGAGGAGAGUGGAAUUCCACGUGUAGCGGUGAAAUGCGUAGAGAUGUGGAGGAACACCAGUGGCGAAGGCGACUCUCUGGUCUGUAACUGACGCUGAGGAGCGAAAGCGUGGGGAGCGAACAGGAUUAGAUACCCUGGUAGUCCACGCCGUAAACGAUGAGUGCUAAGUGUUAGGGGGUUUCCGCCCCUUAGUGCUGCAGCUAACGCAUUAAGCACUCCGCUGGGGAGA